rnacentral:rRNA from 3 species
UACGAAGGGGGCUAGCGUUGUUCGGAAUUACUGGGCGUAAAGCGCACGUAGGCGGAUAUUUAAGUUAGGGGUGAAAUCCCAGGGCUCAACCCUGGAACUGCCUCUAAUACUGGGUAUCUAGAGUCCGAGAGAGGUGAGUGGAAUUCCGAGUGUAGAGGUGAAAUUCGUAGAUAUUCGGAGGAACACCAGUGGCGAAGGCGGCUCACUGGCUCGGUACUGACGCUGAGGUGCGAAAGCGUGGGGAGCAAACAGG